GAGGCAGGAGAAUUGCUUGAACCCAGGAGGUGGAGGUUGCAGUGAGCCGAGAUCGGGUCACUGCACUCCAGCCUGGGUGACAGAGCAAGACUCCGUCUCA
rnacentral:miRNA from 1 species